GAAACGAUGAUAAUGAAAGUUUUUUCAUCGUUCUAAAUUUAUGCUACAGCUAUGGUCGUAAAAGAUUAAGAAAAAUCUUAUGGGUGCAAUUAUUCCACUGACACCUGCGAAAUUACCAAAAGAACUGACCAUCGCUGCUUAUUGUAUUUUUUUAAAUGUUCUAGUUAAACAAUCUAACACUUAA
rnacentral:lncRNA from 1 species